rnacentral:rRNA from 1 species
UACAGAGGGGUCUAGCGUUGUUCGGAUUUACUGGGCGUAAAGGGCGCGUAGGUGGCUUGGUAAGUUGGAGGUGAAAUCUCGGGGCUUAACUCCGAAACUGCCUUCAAUACUGCUGAGCUCGAGGAUUGUAGAGGAGAAUGGAAUUCACGGUGUAGCAGUGAAAUGCGUAGAUAUCGUGAGGAAGACCAGUGGCGAAGGCGAUUCUCUGGGCAAUUCCUGACACUGAGGCACGAAGGCUAGGGGAGCAAACGGG